UUUCUUCACAUUAAUGCCAACAUUAGUCUAUAUCCUCUGUCUAAAUUAUGUAUUUAAGACUAAGUAAUAUUUAGUUAUACAUUAAAAAACCUUUACUCACCAAGAUUAGGCUACAUUUUUGUUGAGGAAAUUAUUAAAUCCACUGUAAAUGGCUUCAGCGUGGUCCUGCGCUUAGGCAUUCAGCAGCAGCAUUGAACUUGACCGCUCAUUUAGCCUACCGUGCAAAGGCGGAGCACGAGCCCGUGUAAAAUGUUAGAAAUGAAGCCCGAAUCCGACCGAACCCGUCGGGUUCGGGCAAAGAUCUUCAGCUCUAAAAUAGCCGUUAUUUUCUCUGGUAAAUUAAAUUUAAAAUUAAUCUCGUCUCGUCGUUUGUCCACUAACAUCUGACUUUGUUGACACACGCCAUGUGUGCCACCAGAGCGGAAAUGACCUAAAACUUUUUCUUCUUUGCAACCAUAAAAGGACCUAAACCUUAAUCGCAAAUCAUUAUUUAUUCGGCAAAUAACGUUUCCAUCAGCGUUUAUCGGAUAAGCCAUAUAUCGAUCAAGAUAAAAUCCGAUGAGAUCGAACGUAUUUCUUUUGAGUCGAUAUUCAUGAAAUUCAAUCGAAUUUUACUGUUUCCAUAACGCAUUUUUCAUUCGAUAUCACUUAAUUCGGAUAAAAACAUGUGGAUGGAAACAUAGCUACUUUUACUCUUAUGAAUAUUGUACUUGUGAUUUCUAAAAGUUAUUUUUUUGUUUGUUUAUUUUGUGUUACAGGAAACUUCCACCUACAGUAAGCAGAUGCUGAGGCCCAGAUUUCCAUGCUAAGCACUCCAAGGCUCAUCAUGCUCGGAGAGUCCAAUCUGAGGGCAAAAAAUGGAUGCUUUCCAUCGAGUGCAGAGUUCUCCUCCAAUUGAGUGACCGUUGUGAUUUCGCUUCUGCUCUAGCCUUUUUGCGUCAUACUAUGUAUGAGGCAGCCACUACAUUGGGAUUUAUCCAGAGGGUAGAGUCCAGCCCAUGAAGUCAACUAGUUCAUGUCCAGAUUUAAAAGAAUAAUAUUUCUGAAAAAAAGGUCUUGGAGAAAAACAAUAUUCAGGUUUGAAAUCCUGCUGUAAAUGUAAAUCAUUUAACUUUUAUGCAUUUGUAAUUUACCAGAAACUUUUUAAUAAAUAUUGAUUGUUUUGUAUGU